rnacentral:rRNA from 1 species
GAUGAACGCUGGCGGCGUGCCUAACACAUGCAAGUCGAGCGAUUCUCUUCGGAGAAGAGCGGCGGACGGGUGAGUAACGCGUGGGUAACCUGCCCUGUACACACGGAUAACAUACCGAAAGGUAUGCUAAUACGAGAUAAUAUACUUUUAUCGCAUGGUAGAAGUAUCAAAGCUUUUGCGGUACAGGAUGGACCCGCGUCUGAUUAGCUAGUUGGUAAGGUAACGGCUUACCAAGGCGACGAUCAGUAGCCGACCUGAGAGGGUGAUCGGCCACAUUGGAACUGAGACACGGUCCAAACUCCUACGGGAGGCAGCAGUGGGGAAUAUUGCACAAUGGGCGAAAGCCUGAUGCAGCAACGCCGCGUGAGCGAUGAAGGCCUUCGGGUCGUAAAGCUCUGUCCUCAAGAAGAUAAUGACGGUACUUGAGGAGGAAGCCCGGCAACUACGUGCCAGCAGCCGCGGUAA